CCUACGGUGUGCUGCAGUGAGGAAUAUUGGUCAAUGGGCGCGAGCCUGAACCAGCCAAGUAGCGUGAAGGAUGACUGCCCUACGGGUUGUAAACUUCUUUUAUAAAGGAAUAAAGUGAGGCACGUGUGCCUUUUUGUAUGUACUUUAUGAAUAAGGAUCGGCUAACUCCGUGCCAGCAGCCGCGGUAAUACGGAGGAUCCGAGCGUUAUCCGGAUUUAUUGGGUUUAAAGGGUGCGUAGAUGGGUUGUUAAGUUAGUUGUGAAAGUUUGCGGCUCAACCGUAAAAUUGCAAUUGAUACUGGCAGGCUUGAGUACAGUUGAGGUAGGCGGAAUGCGUGGUGUAGCGGUGAAAUGCUUAGAGAUCACGAAGAACUCCGAUUGCGAAGGCAGCUUACUAAGCUGCCACUGACAUUGAUGCUCGAAAGUGUGGGUAUCAAACAGGAUUAGAUACCCGGGUAGUC
rnacentral:rRNA from 1 species